GUCAGACGAACGCUGGCGGCGUGCCUAAUACAUGCAAGUCGAACGCUUCUUUUUCCACCGGAGCUUGCUCCACCGGAAAAAGAGGAGUGGCGAACGGGUGAGUAACACGUGGGUAACCUGCCCAUCAGAAGGGGAUAACACUUGGAAACAGGUGCUAAUACCGUAUAACAAUCGAAACCGCAUGGUUUUGAUUUGAAAGGCGCUUUCGGGUGUCGCUGAUGGAUGGACCCGCGGUGCAUUAGCUAGUUGGUGAGGUAACGGCUCACCAAGGCGACGAUGCAUAGCCGACCUGAGAGGGUGAUCGGCCACAUUGGGACUGAGACACGGCCCAAACUCCUACGGGAGGCAGCAGUAGGGAAUCUUCGGCAAUGGACGAAAGUCUGACCGAGCAACGCCGCGUGAGUGAAGAAGGUUUUCGGAUCGUAAAACUCUGUUGUUAGAGAAGAACAAGGAUGAGAGUAACUGUUCAUCCCUUGACGGUAUCUAACCAGAAAGCCACGGCUAACUACGUGCCAGCAGCCGCGGUAAUACGUAGGUGGCAAGCGUUGUCCGGAUUUAUUGGGCGUAAAGCGAGCGCAGGCGGUUUCUUAAGUCUGAUGUGAAAGCCCCCGGCUCAACCGGGGAGGGUCAUUGGAAACUGGGAGACUUGAGUGCAGAAGAGGAGAGUGGAAUUCCAUGUGUAGCGGUGAAAUGCGUAGAUAUAUGGAGGAACACCAGUGGCGAAGGCGGCUCUCUGGUCUGUAACUGACGCUGAGGCUCGAAAGCGUGGGGAGCAAACAGGAUUAGAUACCCUGGUAGUCCACGCCGUAAACGAUGAGUGCUAAGUGUUGGAGGGUUUCCGCCCUUCAGUGCUGCAGCUAACGCA
rnacentral:rRNA from 1 species